UUGAUCGAAAUGUUAAAAAAGUUAUUUUUUCCGGUUCAGUGUAAUAAAAAAGUGUUUUCAAAUGUAAAAAAAGUGUUAUUAAAGUGAAGAACUGCAACGUUUUUAGGACAUUAUUAAAAAACGAAUAGAACUUUAGUAAGAAACUUAAAAACUAAAUAGUGACGCGUCGUGUUGGUAAAAAGGAAUUAAACUGAGAAAAAAACGAAGUUUUUCAAAAGCUAUCGUACAUUAUUAAAUUGUAAAGUGUUUGUUACAAAAUCUUCUAAAAAAUUUUUAUAUAAAUUAUAGCUGCGAAAGGAACUGUGCCUUCAUUUGUGUUAAUCAGAUCUUCGACAUAAUUUUGAUUUAUUGAUUGAUUUGACUUGCAUUAAAUAGUGACAAUAUGUACCUGGAAAGAGAAGAACGAAAUUGAA